rnacentral:tRNA from 1 species
UUUAAAUAAUUUAAUUUAAAAUAUUAGUCUUGUAAACUAAAUUUAAGGUAUUCUUUUUAAACAU